GAUGAACGCUAGCGGCAGGCCUAAUACAUGCAAGUCGAACGGUGUCUUCGGACAUAGUGGCGCACGGGUGCGUAACACGUAUGCAACCUACCUUACAUUGGGGGAUAGCCUUUCGAAAGGGAGAUUAAUACCGCAUAAGACAGUAGCUGGGCAUCCAGUAGCUGUUAAAGAUUUAUCGAUGUAAGCUGGGCAUGCGUCCAAUUAGUUAGUUGGUGAGGUAACGGCUCACCAAGACGAUGAUUGGUAGGGGAACUGAGAGGUCAAUCCCCCACACUGGCACUGAGAUACGGGCCAGACUCCUACGGGAGGCAGCAGUAGGGAAUAUUGGGCAAUGGACGCAAGUCUGACCCAGCCAUGCCGCGUGCAGGAAGAAGGCGUUCUGCGUUGUAAACUGCUUUUAUAUAGGAAGAAACGACCCUUGCGAGGGGCAUUGACGGUAUUAUAUGAAUAAGCACCGGCUAACUCCGUGCCAGCCGCCGCCGUAAUAC
rnacentral:rRNA from 1 species